rnacentral:rRNA from 1 species
CCUACGGUGUGCAGCAGUGAGGAAUAUUGGUCAAUGGACGGAAGUCUGAACCAGCCAUGCCGCGUGCAGGAAGACGGCUCUAUGAGUUGUAAACUGCUUUUGUACAAGGGUAAACCUGAAUACGUGUAUUCAGCUGAAAGUACUGUACGAAUAAGGAUCGGCUAACUCCGUGCCAGCAGCCGCGGUAAUACGUAGGGGGCGAGCGUUGUCCGGAAUUACUGGGCGUAAAGAGAGCGUAGGCGGCACUACAAGUCUCAUGUGAAAUACCCGGGCUUAACUUGGGGGUUGCAUGGGAAACUGUAGAGCUUGAGUACAGGAGAGGCAAGCGGAAUUCCUAGUGUAGCGGUGAAAUGCAUAGAUAUUAGGAGGAACACCAGUGGCGAAGGCGGCUUGCUGGACUGAAACUGACGUUGAGGCCCGAAAGCGUGGGGAGCAAACAGGAUUAGAUACCCGAGUAGUC